rnacentral:misc_RNA from 1 species
CAAUUUACAGAUGACGUAAUUUGUAAAUAAACACGUUUGUGUUAAUAACAAUAUCCUUAAUAUUAUCAAUACAGAUUAACAACUAGUUAUUGACAUAGGAUACCUCCUUUAUUCUGUAAAGGUUUGAGAAGGGUUUUUCGUUUACAAUGAAGACGUCGGAUGACAUCUUGACCCUCCUUGGAGGUUACGGCUGGUUCCAAAUGCUGGUUUUUGUGGCGACUGGUAUGGUAUUGAUGAGCGAGGCUUGGUCCACGUUUUCACCUAUGUACCUGGGGUACGAACCAGGGCACCACUGUCGGGUACCGCAAGACAGGACGCCUAACGAGACCAUUCCAGCAAGAAUGACGAAAGGAGUGUGGGUUUUGGAGAAGUGUAUAAUGUUAAAUAUUAGCGGUGAAUCAACCAGGUCCACAAGUGGGGUUGCUACACAACCCUGUCAUGACGGGUGGACGUAUUUGUGGGAGAAUGCUGGGAGAACGUCAUUUGUAUCUGAGUGGGACCUAGUGUGUGGUAAGAACUAUCUGGUGGAAUUGUCCACGACCGUGUACAUGGUGGGGGCCACAGUAGGUUCCGUUUUCUUGACGCCAUUUUCAGACAGGUUCGGCCGGAAGUGGAUGAUGCUGGGAUACUUCUGGGCUCAGAGCGUGCUAGGAUUCGGUUUGGUCUGGUCAGACAGCAUUGUCACGUUCACCGUACUAAGGUUCUUCAUUGGAGCAUUAGAUGUUGCGUCGUCUGUAGCGGCCUAUGUGCUGAUGAUCGAGGUGUUUCCGUCCAGUUACCGCAUGGCACCAUCAGUGAUGUGUCAAGCCUUUUGGUCGGCAGGGGUGAUGAGCUUCGCCCUGUUCGGGUAUUUAUUCCAUGACUGGAGGCGACUCCAAAUGAUUAUUACACUGCCAAGCAUCGUCACAGUCGUUUACGCUUGGCUCCUGCCUGAAUCCAUUUUGUGGUUGAUCUCAGAAGGGCGACUUGGCGAGGCCGAGAGAGUUCUGAGAACAGCCGCCAAGACCAACAGUAAAGUGUUACCGUCAAAUAUUAGGACGAUCCUCGAGAACGUAUCCAAGGGAGACAAGGACGAGACCAAUCAUACAGCUAUAUCCAGCACCAGCAACAAGACAAAUCCUGCAGCUAUAUCCGGUAUCAGCAACCCCGCAGUGUCUACUACUGACCCGGACUCUGUUUCGCCGGGCGAUGUCUCCACCUCUUUUGAAAACCAACACAAGAAGACAAUGGCGGACGGUGGCCAGGAAACGACCGACGCACCAGAAUCAGUGGUCAGCCAAAACGGACGGCAACAAGAACGCGACGAUGACGUCACUGGUGUUAGCGUUAAGGAAUCACACACGUCUGUGAAAGUAGUUAAUCCCAGCAACCAGCGAAAUGAAAUGACUGUCAUCGGCAUGUUCCUGCAGCCAAACAUAAGAAAUUACUCCAUUAUCAUCUUCUACUUGUAUUUCGUGCUCAGCCUGAGUUAUAUCGGAAUAAUAUUCUCGACUCCGGUCUUACACGGAAACCGGUUUCUGAACUUGUUCAUCAGUGGAGCGAUAGCAAUCCCAGCCCUCUUGAUGUGCACGUUUCUCAAUGAAAGAAUCGGUCGUCGUAUACCGAUUUGCAUCUGUCUGCUGGUUUGCUUCGCUGUGAACACCGUUCUGGUGUUUCUCCCCGCACACACGGCUGACGGGGCUGAUUUGAAAUGGUUACAAAUCUCGCUGGUCAUGAUUGGGUUAUUUGGAAUCACCGGAAGUUACUCCAGUAUCGUCUUGUAUGCAUCUGAGAUAUUUCCCACGACAGUAAGGUGAAAGCAUGUUUUAUUUACAUCUAAACCGCCCAACAAUAAAUCUGAAAGACACAGACAACAAAGAAAGAAAAAGAAGAAACACAAACCAAAACGAAACAAGUAAUCAAACAAAACAAAACAAAUAAACCAAGCUCUGGGGAUUGCGUCAUUCUUUGAUAACAUUGGCGGGAUUUGUGCACCCAUUAUUGUUUACACUGCAAAGAAGAACGCAACUAUUCCACUGAUGAUUUUUGCUGUGGGCACUGUGG